rnacentral:misc_RNA from 1 species
AACGCACAUUGCGCUCCCUGGUAUUCCGGGGAGCAUGCCCGUUUCAGAAUCAUUUUAAUAUCUCACCAAGUUAUGGGUGGAAGCUCAUAACAAGGUGGAAUUUGGAUGUUUUUGUCUCUGUACAAUCAUCUUAAAGUGAUCGUAUGUGCUUGAGAGUGCUCUGGCAGUUGGGUACCAACGUGCAACAGAUUUUAUCUAUUCGCGUCGGUAUUUAAUUGAAAUCAGGCACCUGAAGUGUAUAUCUGCUGGCUUACAGAUGUUAUGCAUAAUGCAUGUAUGGCUUCUGAUAACUUGGUCUGAAAUUGGGCAAGAAAACCCGCUGAACUUAA